AUUGAACGCUGGCGGCAGGCCUAACACAUGCAAGUCGAGCGAGCGGCGGACGGGUGAGUAAUGUCUGGGAAACUGCCUGUUGGAGGGGGAUAACUACUGGAAACGGUAGCGAAUACCGCAUACCCUCCGAGGUGCCCAGGUGGGAUUAGCUGGUGGGGGGGGGAAGGGCGCACCUAGGCGACGAUCCCUAGCUGGGCUGAGAGGAUGACCAGCCACACUGGAACGGAGACACGGGCCAGACUCCGACGGGAGGCAGCAGUGGGGAAUAUUGCACAAUGGGCGCAAGCCUGAUGCAGCCAUGCCGCGUGUGUGAAGAAGGCCUUCGGGUUGUAAAGCACUUUCAGCGGGGAGGCGUUACCCGCAGAAGAAGCACCGGCUAACUCCGUGCCAGCAGCCGCGGUAAUUC
rnacentral:rRNA from 1 species